CAGUCGCCGCGGUAAUACGAAGGGUGCAAGCGUUAAUCGGAAUUACUGGGCGUAAAGCGUGCGUAGGCGGCUUUGUAAGUAAGAGGUGAAAGCCCGGAGCUCAACUCCGGAACUGCCUUUUAGACUGCAUCGCUUGAAUCCAGGAGAGGUGAGUGGAAUUCCGAGUGUAGAGGUGAAAUUCGUAGAUAUUCGGAAGAACACCAGUGGCGAAGGCGGCUCACUGGACGACUGUUGACGCUGAGGUGCGAAAGCGUGGGGAGCAAACAGGAUUAGAUACCCCAGUAGUCCAUGUCUCUUAUAA
rnacentral:rRNA from 1 species